CCUCUCUCAAUAAGAAGCACUCUCUCACAAAGCUCUCUCUCUCUCUAGGAGACCUUCCUGAAACAACCAUUGUCCGCUGUCUAACAGCCUACCCAAAGCCCCUUGCUUCUGCUCUCUAUCGGUGCCUAUCUUCAAGGUCUGCUGCUUGCUACCGAAUGCUACUUUUGGCUGCUGCUCCUCUGGGUUCUUUGCCGAUUGUGCUACCACAGUAUGCAC
rnacentral:lncRNA from 1 species